rnacentral:rRNA from 1 species
GUAGGGUGCGAGCGUUAUCCGGAAUCAUUGGGCGUAAAGAGCUCGUAGGCGGUUCAGCAAGUCGGCUGUGAAAUUCCGAGGCUCAACCUCGGAACUGCAGUCGAUACUGUUGUGACUCGAGUCCGGUAGAGGAGAAUGGAAUUCCCGGUGUAGCGGUGAAAUGCGCAGAUAUCGGGAGGAACACCAGUAGCGAAGGCGGUUCUCUGGGCCGGCACUGACGCUGAGGAGCGAAAGCGUGGGGGUAGCAAACAGGAUUAGAUACCCUGGUAGUCCACGCCCGUAAACGUUGGAUACUAGGUGUGGGGUUCCGACCAACGGUCCCCGUGCCGAAGCUAACGCAUUAAGUAUCCCCGCCUGGGGAUACGGCCGCAAGGCUA